CCAGGAUGGUCUCGAUCUCCUGACCUCGUGAUCCGCCCACCUCGGCCUCCCAAAGUGCUGGGAUUACAGGCGUGAGCCACCGCGCCCAGCCGAGUGGUUUCUUUUCACGUCAAAUACAAGAUUCAUCCUGAAAAAAAAAGUCAUGUUAUUACUGCAUUUUGUGAAUUCAGACAUGUAUUGACUAUUUACUCUGUGCCAUGUAGUUUUCUCCACCAGUGAGGUAGAUGUUAUUAUCCCAUUUUUACACAUGAUGAAACUGAGACCAGAAAAUUUUAAACAGGCCAGGCUUGGUGGCUCACCCCGUAACCCUAAGGCAGGAGUAUCACUUGAGUCCAGGAGUUCGGGACUAGCCUGGGCAACAUAGUGAGACUCCCAUCUCUACAAAAAAAAAAAAAAAAAAAAAAAGCUAGAUGUGGUGGUGCACACCUGUAGUCCCAGCUACUUGAAAGGCUGAGUCAGGAAGAUCUCUUGAGCCCAGGAGGUCAAGGCUGCAGUGAGUCAUGAUCGUGACACUAUCCUCCAGCCUGGGUGACAGCGAGACUCUUGUCUCAAAAAAUAAUAAUAUAUCUAUAAAAUAAUAAAUUAAAAAAUAGUUGCAAUAGUGUAUCAUCAUGUUCUCUUGCAGAACUGAAUACCCGGGAGCCUGAAGGAGCUGCCUAAGAAAGGCUUAGGGAGUGCCAGAGAAAGGUGAUAGCAUUUAAGUUACAUCUUAAAGGAUAACCAAAAUUUGCCAGGUGGACAGAUGGAUAGCUUAGCAUAAUAACACUUAUUAUAGCUUUAAGCAGACUAAUUUAAUUAAUUAAUUAAUUACAGGUGGGGUCUUGCUUUGCCACCCAGGCUGGAGUGCAGUGGUAUGAUUAUAGCUUGCUACAGCCUUGAACUCCUGGACUCAAGCUGUCCUCCUGCCUCAGCCUCCGAAGUAGCUAGGGCUACAGGCAUGGGCCACCAUGCCCACUUGACUUUUCUUUUUUUUAUAGAAACAGGUCUCUAUGUUGCCCAAGCUGGACUCAAAUUCCUGGCCUCAAGCACCUUCCCAGAGUGGUAAGGAUUACAGGUAUGAGCCACCAUACCCCGCGUAAGCAGACUACUUUCAAAUUCUGCCUCAGUUUCAAGUCUCAAUUUCAUCAUUUGUAAAAUGGGGAUAACAUCAUUUACUUUGUGACACUGUUGGGAAGAUCGAGUGAGCUAACGCAUAUAAAACAUUCAACAGGCCGGGCGCAGUGGCUCACACGUGUAAUCCUAGCACUUUGGGAGGCUGACGUGGGCGGAUCACUUGAAGUCAGGAGUUUGAGACCAGCCUGACCAACAUGGAGAAACUCCGUCUCUACUAAAAAUACAAAAAAUUAGCCAGGCGUGGUGGCGCAUGCCUGUAAUCCCAGCUACUCAGGAGGCUGAGGCAGGAGAAUCGCUUGUACCCAAGAGGCGAAGGUUGCAGUGAGCCAAGAUCGCGCCAUUGCACACAACAAAAGCAAAACUCCAUCUCAAAAAAAAAACAUUUAACAUGACACACAGUAAGCACUCAAAAUAUUAGCUAUAAAUAGAGAUUGGAAGAAUACGUUAGUGCUGAUUUUGGAAGCUACAUAUUAGUCAAGGGGUUUGGACUUUAUUUUAAAGUUUGAGCUAUUUAAUGUCUUAAGCCUGAGAGUGACUUACAUCACAUCUGUUUACCAGUGUACCGGCAAGGUAGGGAAAAUAAGGGAAGGAAGCCUUCUAUAAAGUGGCGCUACUCCUUUGUGGGAAAGUGAAGGGGAUAUUCUCCCCUUGUUGUCCUCCCACCUUCCCUCCUGCCUGAAGGCCUUUUAAUUCCUGCCUUUUUCAGAAAGGAGACUCAUCUCUCCUGUCUGGUACUUGGGUUGUUUGAGGAUGAGAUGUCUGGACUGCCUUAUGUUAUGGGAAUCUCCUCAUGUCGUAUUCCUUUCACCCACCCUGCGAAGUGGAAACCAAAACUCUCUGAGUGUCCACUAAUAGAAACUUUGCCCUUAACGGAUUGUUAAGCAAGGCUUUGCUCACCACUAGAAGUCCUCAAUGGAUGAGGUCCCUGCCUCCAUUUUAAGCUCUUAAUUAUGUUCUAACUCUGUGCUGAGAGUAUCAUAUACAGCAAGCUUGUCCAGCCUAUGGCCCAGGACGGCUUUGAAUGUAGCCUAACACAAAUUCAUAAACUUUCUUAAAAGAUUAUGAGAUUUUUCUGUGAUUUUUUUUUUUUAAGCUCAUCAGCUGUCGUUAGUGUAUGUUAUGUGUGCCCCAAGACAGUUAUUCCAGUGUGGCCUAGGGAAUCCAAAAGAUUGGACACCCUAGAAUUAUAUAGUAUCUCAUUUAAUUCUCACAAACAGCCGGGCGCCGUGGCUCAAGCCUGUAAUCCCAGCACUUAGGGAGGCCGAGGCGGGCGGAUCACGAGGUCAGGAGAUCGAGACCAUCCUGGCUAACACGGUGAAACCCCGUCUCUACUAAAAAAAUACAAAAAAAAUUAGCCGGGCGUGUUGGCCGGGCGCCUGUAGUCCCAGCUACUCGGGAGGCUGAGGCAGGAGAAUGGCGUGAACCCGGGAGGCGGAGCUUGCAGUGAGCCGAGACCGCGCCACUGCACUCCAGCCUGGGGGACAGAGAAAGACUCCGUCUCUAAAUAAAUAAAUUAAUUAAAUUAAAUUAAAUUAAAUAAAUUCUCACAACCCUGUGAAGCAAUGAUUAUCCGUGGUAUACAGAGUGAGAAAUGUAUGUCUAAAAGUUAGGAUAACCACAGAGUCUGAGAGAUGGCGUUUAGACUGAAGUCUUUAUGCUCCUCCUUAGCUGCCUGCUGGUCUCCUCUGUACCUAGGGUGGCCACAUGAUCAGCUUACACUGAAGUAGUUCCUGGCUUUGGUGUAUAGGACUGGUACCCCUGGCUUGGUUUUCAGAUUCCUAAAGUUUAAAAACUUGGAUCCUGGGCCAGGUGCGGUGGCUGACGCCUGUAAUCCCAGCACUUUGGGAAGCCAAGGCGGGCGGAUCAUGAGGUCAGGAGUUUGAGACCAGCCUGGCCAACAUGGUGAAACCCCGCCUCUACUAAAAAUAUAAAAAUUAGCCGGACGUGGUGGCGUGCAUCUGUAAUCCCAGCUACUUGGGAGGCUGAGGCAGGGGAAUUGCUUGAACCUGGGUGGUGGAGGUUGCAGUGAGCCACGAUCGCACCAUUGCACUGCAGCCUGGGCGACAAGAAUAAGACUCCGUCUCCAAAAAAAGAAGAGUUGGACCCUUAUGAGCCCUCCCCUCUUCUCUUCAGACCCACAUGUACCUCCUGCUCCCCAGAUUAAUAGUCGUUGCAUGUUUAAAGCUAGCAAGCAUCUGAUGAAUAUUUAAUAGCAUUGAGCAGACAGGCUGGAAACAGCUGUCUGAGACGGCAGCUGCUUAGGGGGAGGGGAGGAAGUGCACAACACUGCCUUAACUACCCGUUCCUUUGUUUCCUGGCCUAGAAAAUAGGUCUGGCUCUUCAGGGCCCCUUAGGAGCACAAGCCUAUGGGGGCACUGCACCCUAGUCCUACUGUAGCCUGAUUGCUGCUCUCGGCUCCUAAGGAGGCUGCAUUCAAGCAGGAGACUCAACCCUUUUUGCGAGCUACCAGAGGACUCCUGAAACCUGGAGAGCUACCUGCUGUAUAAAGGCUGGCCUGAGGGCAUUUGCUGAACACAGAGAAACCCAGGAGAGGAGAUCAGCAGUUUUCUUUCCCUCUACUUGAUCUGUCAGAUUUACCCACAGAAAGCCAGUCAGGAUCCCUUAAGAGUCUUUAGGCCCAGAAUGGAGUCCUCAGGGCUGCAGGGGACUGUGGUGCUAACAGUUAAACUGUUCAAGACUUUAAAGAGUUGAAGGGGACUAAUGGGUAUCCCUAGCGUGGCCUCCUAGAUGGGAAUGAACUGGCAACUCCUACUGUGCCAUUCCCAGUCUGUGUGCUUCCCUUUAGCCUCCCAUAGAAUUGGCUGAAACACCCUACCACCGUUUUCUGUUUCCCCACUACCACACCUGUGUUACGGGUGUCAGCCUGUGAGUCCUUGAAGCCUUCCAGAGGGCUCCCAAGGGAGGGUGAUCACCACCCCUCCAUAAAAGGCUGAGGAAAGCCAAGUGAGAAGAUUCAAUUAAUUUGGGCAAGUUAUUUAACAUCUGAACCUGUUUUUCUCUUCAUUGUUUAUUACUUACCUUGUCCAAAAAGGUCAUAAAGGGUAGGGCUUUUUCUGUUCCACCUCUGUACUAUAUUUCUCCCCAACAAGUAUCUGCCCCUGAGGAGCUCAAUAAAGGUUUGGUCAAGUGA